UACGUAGGAUGCAAGCGUUGUCCGGAUUUACUGGGCGUAAAGCGCGCGCAGGCGGCACACCAAGUACCCUAUGAAGUCUCCCUGCUCAACGGGGAGGGUGUGGGGUAGACUGGUGAGCUAGAGGAGGGUAGAGGGGGGUAGAAUUGCUGGUGUAGCGGUGAAAUGCGUAGAGAUCAGCAGGAAUACCCGUGGCGAAGGCGGCCAGCUGGGCCGGGUCCGACACUGAGGCGCGAAAGCGUGGGGAGCAAACAGG
rnacentral:rRNA from 1 species